rnacentral:rRNA from 1 species
GACGAACGCUGGCGGCGUGCCUAACACAUGCAAGUCGAACGGAGAUAUGAUUUCGGUUGUAUCUUAGUGGCGAACGGGUGAGUAACGCGUGAGCAACCUGACUCUUAGAGGGGGAUAACAUUCGGAAACGGGUGCUAAUACCGCAUAAGACCACGACCCGGCAUCGGGAUGAGGUCAAAGGAGCAAUCCGCUGAGAGAGGGGCUCGCGUCCCAUUAGAUAGAUGGCGGGGUAACGGCCCACCAUGUCAACGAUGGGUAACCGAGCUGAGAGGCUGAUCGGCCACACUGGAACUGAGACACGGUCCAGACUCCUACGGGAGGCAGCAGUGGGGAAUAUUGGGCAAUGGGCGCAAGCCUGACCCAGCAACGCCGCGUGAGGGAAGAAGGCUUUCGGGUUGUAAACCUCUGUCCUUGGUGACGAAACAAAUGACGGUAGCCAAGGAGGAAGCCCCGGCUAACUACGUGCCAGCCGCCGCAGUAAUAC